CAUUAAGUGACUGAAAUGAAAGUAAUGGUCUCUUAAACCAAAAUAUGGUAAGUUACAUCUACCCUUAAUGA
rnacentral:tRNA from 1 species